CAUGUAGGCGGAUUGAUAAGUUUGAAGUGAAAUCCUAUAGCUUAACUAUAGAACUGCCUUGAAAACUGUUAAUCUAGAAUGUGGGAGAGGUAGAUGGAAUUUCUGGUGUAGGGGUAAAAUCCGUAGAGAUCAGAAGGAAUACCGAUUGCGAAGGCGAUCUACUGGAACAUUAUUGACGCUGAGAUGCGAAAGCGUGGGGAGCAAACA
rnacentral:rRNA from 1 species